CGCGAAUGGCUCAUUAUAACAGCUAUAAUUUACUUGAUCUUGACACAAUCCUACUUGGAUAACUGUGGUAAUUCUAGAGCUAAUACAUGCAUUAAAGCUCUGACCUCACGGGAAGAGUGCAUUUAUUAGAACAAAACCAAGCGGCUUCGGCUGUUUCUGGUUGACUCAUAGUAACUGAGCUGGUCGCACGGCCUUGCACCGGCGACGUGCCUUUCAAGUAUCUGCCGUAUCAACUUUCGAUGGUAGUGUAUCUGACUACCAUGGUGAUCACGCGUAACGGAGAAUAAGGGUUCGGCUCCGGAGAGUUCGCCUGAGAAAUCGCGAACACAUCUAAGGAAGGCAGCAGGCGCGAAAAUUAACCACUCUCAGCACGAGGAGGUAGUGACGAAAAAUAACGAGACCGUUCUCUUAUGAGGCCGGUCAUCGGAAUGGGUACAAUUUAAACCCUUUAACGAGCAUCUAUGAGAGGGCAAGUCUGGUGCCAGCAGCCGCGGUAAUUCCAGCU
rnacentral:rRNA from 1 species